AACGCGAAGAACCUUACCUACCCUUGACAUGUACGGAACCUUUAAGAGAUUAGAGGGUGCUCGAAAGAGAGCCGUAACACAGGUGCUGCAUGGCUGUCGUCAGCUCGUGUCGUGAGAUGUUGGGUUAAGUCCCGCAACGAGCGCAACCCUUGUCAUUAGUUGCUACAUUUAGUUGAGCACUCUAAUGAGACUGCCGGUGACAAACCGGAGGAAGGUGGGGAUGACGUCAAGUCCUCAUGGCCCUUAUGGGUAGGGCUUCACACGUCAUACAAUGGUACAUACAGAGGGUUGCCAACCCGCGAGGGGGAGCUAAUCCCAGAAAGUGUAUCGUAGUCCGGAUUGGAGUCUGCAACUCGACUCCAUGAAGUUGGAAUCGCUAGUAAUCGCGGAUCAGCAUGUCGCGGUGAAUACGUUCCCGGGCCUUGUACACACCG
rnacentral:rRNA from 1 species